GAAAAUUGUUCCUUUAAUGUGAGUCAUGGGAGUAAUUAAGGGAUAAAUAACAGCACUGCAGUUCGUCAACACGCUGGUGCCAUUGCAAAAGCAAAGGGAAGUGUACACAUUCCUGCAGAGACACAAAUCCAGCCAGGGCUGGCAAAAUAACUGCUCCCAUCUUUUGGGCUUUGGCAGUCUCCUCUGCUCCUGGGCUGCUGAGGAUCAGGAAUGGCCCUGCUGAUGUGAUUUACCAGAGAACCUGGGAGGAUAUGCUGAACAAAAGGAAGAGCUUGCAGAUGUUCCCUGUAAAAGCACUGACUGAAUGGCAACUGUGACAGCGCUGUUCCAGCCCUCCCUGUGAGAUCACUGGCAGCCACUUUGGAGGGGAAUCUGAGGAAAACUUGAAGAGCAGUGAGUGCCAGGAGUGCUCUGCAUUUGCACCUGUCCAUGUGGAAAGACACUUUCUCAGCUGAAAUCCAUACUGUGGCCCCUUCCUCUCUAUUCCUUUCUCCUUAGUAUUUGCAGAUUAUUUCAAGCAACUCAGUUUUCCAUUCUCUAAUGAGCAAUUUAAAUGCUAAAGGGCAGUGCCUCUGUUGAAGGCCAAGGGAGCUGUGACAGUUUAUGCCAGCUGAAGCUUUGCCUUUAAGUAAAUGUUUUAAACUUUCCACUAAGGAGCCUAAAAUAAGCCAUAGCAUGAAACAUUAAGAGCA
rnacentral:lncRNA from 12 species